UACGUAGGGUGCAAGCGUUAAUCGGAAUUACUGGGCGUAAAGCGUGCGCAGGCGGUGAUGUAAGACAGAUGUGAAAUCCCCGGGCUCAACCUGGGAACUGCAUUGGAUACUGGCAGGCUAGAGUGCGGUAGAGGAUGGCGGAAUUCCCGGUGUAGCAGUGAAAUGCGUAGAGAUCGGGAGGAACAUCUGUGGCGAAGGCGGCCAUCUGGACCAGCACUGACACUGAGGCACGAAAGCGUGGGGAGCAAACAGG
rnacentral:rRNA from 1 species